rnacentral:rRNA from 1 species
UACGUAGGGUGCAAGCGUUGUCCGGAAUUAUUGGGCGUAAAGAGCUCGUAGGCGGUCUGUCGCGUCUGCUGUGAAAACUCAGGGCUUAACCCUGAGCUUGCAGUGGGUACGGGCAGACUAGAGUGCGGUAGGGGAGACUGGAAUUCCUGGUGUAGCGGUGAAAUGCGCAGAUAUCAGGAGGAACACCGGUGGCGAAGGCGGGGUCUCUGGGCCGUAACUGACGCUGGAGGAGCGGAAAGC